GCCGUGGUUCGUACUGUCUCGCCUUUGUUGUUCUGUACCGUAAAAAAAUGAAUGAAGAAGGCAUGGAAACGAAGCAAGAUUAUGAAGAUGUAAGAGGUCUUUCACCCGAAGAUGGUGUUUCUCUUAGGAAUCUUGAAUCUCACGACAAAGAUAUAUUAGAUAAACAGAAGCCCAUGAAAACGGAUUUAACAAACAAGAGCAGAGGGAGACUUUAUAGAAGUCGAAGCCGUGAUGGCAGUUACAGCGACCUUAGCGGUGACGACGAUCGACGAAGAAGAGACAGAAGAAGGGAUAGUAGUUAUAAGUACAAGGAAGGACAUUACAGUUCUAGAUAUAGAGACGAUAGAGAUAAAGUAAGAUUUCAUCAAGGCAGAAGCUCCGAAAGGCAAUCUUUUGAUCGAGUAAGUCCGGCUGAAAAUCCUGGGACCGUUUUAUAUGUAGGCCAGCUUUACUUCAAAGUUUCUGACAAAUCACUUGAAGAGUUAUUUAAACCGUAUGGAAAGGUGCUCUCGUCUGUAAUUCAAAGGGACAGGCAAACAAACGAUAGUUUACGUUAUGGUUUUGUGACUAUGGAAAGUUCUAAAGAUGCCGAAGUGGCUAUAAAAGCUCUUAAUGGCUCUACACCUGAGGGUUUUGCUGUCAAGCCUCUUAUUGUGGAAUUAGCCAAGAGAUCUCAUGGCCACGAAGCAACACCAGGCACAUACAGAGGCCACAGGACUUCUGGUGCGUCUAGCAGGUAUCCCAGACCAUCUUUUCACCGGCCCAUGCCAAUGCACAGAGAUUUGGUUUACCGGGGACGUUAUGGCGAACCUUAUUAUAGAGAUGACUACAGAAUCUAUCCUGAAUUAUACAGUCGGAGGCAGCACGAUUAUGACUUCCGGAGGGCGGAUAUGGCCCUCGACAGAAAUCGUCGAGAUCCUGUUGACAGGCGCAGAUUUGAUGGCCGUCCUGUUGUUCUUCCAGGGAGACACUCGCACUAUGACAUGCUUAGGGGCGACUUUCCGCCUGAUCGCUCCUACAUGAGAGACAGGGAGAGGCGUGGUUUUUAUGAAGACAGAUACCUUAAACAUGAUGGACCACCGCGGGAUUAUUACUACGACGAUAUGAGACUCUCUAACCCCCACAGUUUGGGAAGGAUCCCGCCACCGCUACCUCAACGUCGCUACGAUACAAGCGAGAGGCGACGCGCGUGACACCCUCCUGCACUCGCUUAGUACACUCGUUGUUUGGCCCCUGCAUAUAAUAAAAUGGACGCCCGUUCAUCCACAACAACUUCUUGAGAACCCUUUUUAUUACUUCUGUGCACGCGUCCGUUGCAGUGUAUGCCAGCGAUGAAGCAGCUUUUUUUAUCGAGUUGAUGAGCUUUAAAUUUUUAUUGAAGUAUUUGGAUGGCUAUUUUGUAGCGCAUUUCGCGAGGAGUUUUUGUAAUACCCUACCAGAACGCAUUUCUGGUGUAUUCCCAGCAUAUUACUGUAUAUUUUCUUUGCAGAAUUUAUAAGACCCUAUUUUGCCUACUGGAUUAGCAGCUGCACUGCCUCGGGAUGGCUAGAGAAUGAUUGGAUGACUAUUCAAGAGUUUUCCCUACUUACAUCCUUAUGUUUGUUCAAAUGGCACUAUUCAUCUUCUAGUAGUUUUCCUCUUAUUUUAGACCUUUUUUCAACUUUUCAGUGCCCUCUAGAAUGUUGGCAGUAUUCUUCGUAGGAGUUCCUGCGUUAUAUUUAAAUAUGAACAUGAGACUGUUAAGCUUCAGAGUCGACCUUAUAUAACUAUAACUGACGAACUCUAUUCUAAGUUACAAUUAGCUAUGCAUCUUUAAGUGUGUACCGUUUAGCUUCAAAGAGUUUGCCCGUAAAAUUUACUUAUAGCAAUAUGGAGCAUCCAGUUAUUUUACUGUGCCUUCUUCUUUCAAGUCGUUUUAGAGCUAAAAGUCGAGGGAUCUUUUUACUUCAGAAUUGUUGAACAAAUGGUAGUUCAUAGAGCGUCUCUUUUCUCAGCUUCAACCUUCAGAAUUUUUCAGUUCUUUUAGAGUAAAGACAAUACUUUGCGCGUUUUUUAUCAAAAUAAGUAAAUACCAAAGUCUGCACUCCGGCACGCUUUAUUUUAAAUAGCCUUAUGAAUAAGGAUCCUGUUGCAACUUUGAAUACAUUAAGUUGAGAACUUUACAAAAGAGCAAACUUCUCUUGAAAAGUUUAGUUACCGCCUUUUAAGUUGAUUCGCAUCUUGCGUAAGGAAUUGUGGAAGGACAUGAAGUCGUUAUCACGAGUUAGAGCUUAAAGGAAUUGAGUUGACAAUAAGAAUGUAAUUGUAAGUUAG